GACGAACGCUGGCGGCGUGCUUAACACAUGCAAGUCGAACGGAAAGGCCCUGCUUUUGUGGGGUGCUCGAGUGGCGAACGGGUGAGUAACACGUGAGUAACCUGCCCUUGACUUUGGGAUAACUUCAGGAAACUGGGGCUAAUACCGGAUAGGAGCUCCUGCUGCAUGGUGGGGGUUGGAAAGUUUCGGCGGUUGGGGAUGGACUCGCGGCUUAUCAGCUUGUUGGUGGGGUAGUGGCUUACCAAGGCUUUGACGGGUAGCCGGCCUGAGAGGGUGACCGGCCACAUUGGGACUGAGAUACGGCCCAGACUCCUACGGGAGGCAGCAGUGGGGAAUAUUGCACAAUGGGCGGAAGCCUGAUGCAGCAACGCCGCGUGCGGGAUGACGGCCUUCGGGUUGUAAACCGCUUUCGCCUGUGACGAAGCGUGAGUGACGGUAAUGGGGAAAGAAGCACCGGCUACUACGUG
rnacentral:rRNA from 1 species